rnacentral:misc_RNA from 1 species
GAGCUGCGAAACGGAAACGGGCAUGACUGCAUCGCCACCACUACCUCGCACACGCAAGCUAAAUAGACACAGCUUGCGGCCCUCAGUUUUUUUCUGUCGGCCUCCUCUCUCGCGCAAGGUCAAGAGUAGUUUGUACGUGCAGGAUGCACGCCUGUCGACUACUGCGCCGUGGCCACAUGGAUGUGGAGCCGUGGAUGGGGGUCAGCUGCUACCCCGUAGGACCCUUGCUGGUCGGCGGCGUCCCGACCAUUCGCGCCGGCUACGACCACUUUAAGUUUAUGCGUCCACAAGCGCCGCUGCGGGCUGUGGGGCUGGACAAGCCUCUGCCACCGGUGCUUUUCAACCGCAUGGACCAGAUCGUGCUUAUCGAAAAUGCGCUCGCUCUCCAGCGGACAGAGAAUCAGAUCUCAGUCACGCUGUCGCAGCUGGCGCUCGGCAUUCGCAACGCGGAGAACUUCCUUGAGAAGCAUCUCAUGAACAAGGAGGUGCGUCCGUCCAUCCAUACGCUGUGGUUCCACGAGGGUGGUCUGCGCGAGCACCCUCAUGUGUUGUCCGGCCUGGCGGCCCACCACUUGGUGCCACUCUUCAGCCUCGUUAGCUACGACGUGGAGCGGGGCAAGAUGACGGUCUUCCAGGCGGAGGAGCUAUACGAGGAGCUCAUGGACUGCUCUGUGGCACAGCCGAAGAUUGUGCAGCGCGAGCUGGCGAACCAGAUGGUGCGCGUCUACUGCCUGAAGGACGACUAUGACAAGGCGAUCCGCGUGGUGGAUGAGAUGUGGGCCAAGCACAUCCGGCGCACCUUCGUCACAUACGCCCCGCUCUUCCGCAUGAUCCGCGGGAAGCGGGAUGUGGAGCAGCAGAUAAAACUGCUGAGUUACAUGUACAAAACGGAGGGUGGCAGACUACCCAAAUUCCUCUUCAUUGACGUGCCGCGGAUGCUGUACAUGUUUGGUGUGUUUGCCCGCUACAACUGGAUCCCGAUUAACGUCUGCUUCACCGUUGUGUGCACGGCUCUGACGCUGCAGUACAUGAACUACGCGAAGUGGUAGUGUAUCUCGUGUGCUUGCGGAGCGGGGGUGGGAAUGAGAUCUGAACAGGAGCCCCCCUCACCGCAGGCCAGCGCAAGGAUGUGUGUGCUUACGCGUAGCGACACUGCGGCUGCACGUUCCAGACACGGCUCACUCGGCUCUGUCCUCCUGGACCUUCUCCACCGGUGGCUGUGAUGGAUGAGUGGUUGAUAGGUUGCCGCUGCUGCUGAUGUCUCUCCGUGCAAGUCCCACCUAAUGUAUACCCACAUGAGCACGCAGAAGAAGAGAAACAAAGCAGAGAAUAACCGCAACACCGCAGAAAGGUAGAUCACGUGAGGAGGGGGCAGGCGGGCAGAUGCACUGCUGCGCACCUACGAUCAAGCCGUGAACGGAUGUACCUCUUGUGUACCCUUGCUUCAUUGUUUUUCCCCCUCUCACGGCUCUUGUACACCAGCAUUCGUUGCUGACCACCGUUUUACGCAAAGACCCUUUACGCCACACCAGACAUUACCGCCGCUGCUUUUGCAUGCACCGGGGGCUUUUAUCACGGGUGAAUGUGUCUGUGUGUCUCCCGUCAGCCAACACCCUCGUCUUCUUCCCCUCUGGCGCCCCAUAUUUGCCCACAUUGGCGAACGUAUGCGCAUCUAAACACCAGUCACGCUUGCCCCUUCCUUUUAUCUUGCCUUCUCUGCCCAG